rnacentral:rRNA from 1 species
GCUAAGUGUUAGAGGGUUUCCGCCCUUUAGUGCUGCAGCUAACGCAUUAAGCACUCCGCCUGGGGAGUACGGUCGCAAGACUGAAACUCAAAGGAAUUGACGGGGGCCCGCACAAGCGGUGGAGCAUGUGGUUUAAUUCGAAGCAACGCGAAGAACCUUACCAGGUCUUGACAUCCUCUGACAACUCUAGAGAUAGAGCGUUCCCCUUCGGGGGACAGAGUGACAGGUGGUGCAUGGUUGUCGUCAGCUCGUGUCGUGAGAUGUUGGGUUAAGUCCCGCAACGAGCGCAACCCUUGAUCUUAGUUGCCAGCAUUUAGUUGGGCACUCUAAGGUGACUGCCGGUGACAAACCGGA